UGGUCCAAGUGUAGGAAAAGAAAUGCAAUAUACAAAUGCAGUCUGGGCAACUCUCCUCAUCCUGAUACCAGUCGCUCUGUUUCUCCUCUAUUUGUGCAUCAGGAAGAAGAAAUCUCUAACGUCUGAGCAAAGUGACCCAGUACAGACUGUACAGUCAGACUCUGAUCCUGUGUUUGAGAGCAUCACUGCAGCACAGACAGAAGCCACAGAGGAGCAGGAAGACCAG